CGCGUAUUUCGCCAAGGCGGAACUCGACCGCCACCACAAGAAGUGAUGGGCUUCAUCGACGCACAACGCGAGCACUUCGGGGUCGAGUCGAUCUGCAAAGCCUUGCAGGUUGCCCCG
rfam:Xanthomonas axonopodis pv. citri str. 306, complete genome.